UCCAGACUCCUACGGGAGGCAGCAGUGGGGGAUAUUGCACAAUGGGGGAAACCCUGAUGCAGCGACGCCGCGUGGGUGAAGAAGUAUUUCGGUAUGUAAAGCCCUAUCAGCAGGGAAGAAAGAAGACGGUACCUGACUAAGAAGCCCCGGCUAACUACGUGCCAGCAGCCGCGGUAAUACGUAGGGGGCGAGCGUUAUCCGGAUUCACUGGGUGUAAAGGGAGCGUAGACGGCCGUGCAAGCCAGGAGUGAAAGCCCGGGGCCCAACCCCGGGACUGCUCUUGGAACUGUGCGGCUGGAGUGCGGGAGGGGCAGGCGGAAUUCCUGGUGUAGCGGUGAAAUGCGUAGAUAUCAGGAGGAGCACCGGCGGCGAAGGCGGCCUGCUGGACCGCGACUGACGUUGAGGCUCGAAAGCGUGGGGAGCGAACAGGAUUAGAUACCCGAGUAUU
rnacentral:rRNA from 1 species